rnacentral:rRNA from 1 species
UACGUAGGGUGCAAGCGUUGUCCGGAAUUAUUGGGCGUAAAGAGCUCGUAGGCGGUUUGUUGCGUCGGCUGUGAAAUCCCGAGGCUCAACCUCGGGUCUGCAGUCGAUACGAGCAAACUAGAGUGUUGCAGGGGAGACUGGAAUUCCUGGUGUAGCGGUGAAAUGCGCAGAUAUCAGGAGGAACACCGGUGGCGAAGGCGGAUCUCUGGGCCUUACCUGACGCUCGAGGUGCGAAAGCCUAGGGGAGCGAACAGG